CCUAGGUAAAUCCGGGUUUCACAUAUCCUGAGAGGUGAUGCAUAGCCGAUUGAGGCGAAUUCGGUGAUCCUAUGCUGUCAAGAAAAGCCUCUAGCGAGCGCACACACGGCCCGUACCCCAAACCAACACAGGUGGUCAGGUAGAGAAUACCAAGGCGUACGAGUGAACUAUGGUUAAGGAACUCGGCAAAAUGCCCCCGUAACUUCGGGAGAAGGGGGACCCACGUACCGUCAAGGCCUUCGCGGCCGGCAGCGGGUGUGGGUGGCACAAACCAGUGAGAAGCGACUGUUUACUAAAAACACAGGUCCGUGCGAAGUCGCAAGACGAUGUAUACGGACUGACGCCUGCCCGGUGCUGGAAGGUUAAGAGGACCCGUUAACCCCUCGGGGUGAAGCGGAGAAUUUAAGCCCCAGUAAACGGCGGUGGUAACUAUAACCAUCCUAAGGUAGCGAAAUUCCUUGUCGGGUAAGUUCCGACCUGCACGAAUGGCGUAACGACUUCUCAACUGUCUCAACCAUAGACUCGGCGAAAUUGCAUUACGAGUAAAGAUGCUCGUUACGCGCGGCAGGACGAAAAGACCCCGGGACCUUCACUACAACUUGGUAUUGGUGCUCGAUACGGUUUGUGUAGGAUAGGUGGGAGACUGUGAAGCG
rnacentral:rRNA from 1 species